rnacentral:ncRNA from 1 species
GUUCGGGUCUGUGGUUGAAAGCCGAAGCCAGUCGCAGGCAAAACGGUCCACGUAAGCUGGGGAAACUUCCAGUGAGCACGGUGCGGUUUAGACGUAAGUCCGGCCGGACGCAAAGUCCGAGAGAGCGGCGUGGGGGUCCAUGGGACUAUGAGCAAUGCUCCAGUCGGCGAGUGUGGGGUCAAAAACCAGGUCAGCCAA